AGCAGCCGCGGUAAUUCCAGCUCCAAUAGCGUAUAUUAAAGUUGUUGCAGUUAAAAAGCUCGUAGUUGAAUUUCGGGAUCAAUAUGUCGGUCGUGCCUUCGGUACGUACUGGUAUCAUUGGUCUCUCCUUUCUGACGAACCAUGAUGUCAUUAAUUUGGUGUUAUGGGGAGUUAGGACUGUUACUUUGAAAAAAUUAGAGUGUUUAAAGCAGGCUUUAGCUUGAAUACAUUAGCAUGGAAUAAUGAAAUAGGACGUUCGAACCUAUUUUGUUGGUUUUUAGGAUCAACGUAAUGAUUAAUAGGGAUAGUUGGGGGCAUUAGUAUUCAAUUGUCAGAGGUGAAAUUCUUGGAUUUAUUGAAGACUAACUACUGCGAAAGCAUUUGCCAAGGAUGUUUUCAUUAAUCAAGAACGAAAGUUAGGGGAUCGAAGACGAUCAGAUACCGUCGUAGUCUUAACCAUAAACUAUGCCGACUAGGGAUCGGAUGAUGUUAAUUAUUUAAUGACUCAUUCGGCGCCUUACG
rnacentral:rRNA from 1 species